rnacentral:rRNA from 1 species
UACAGAGGCCUCAAGCGUUAGGCGGAAUCACUGGGCUUAAAGCGUGUGUAGGCGGAUGCCUAAGUACCUUGUGAAAUCCCACGGCUCAACCGUGGAACUGCUGGGUAUACUGGGCGUCUUGGGCCAUUCAGGGGCGACUGGAACAAGCGGUGGAGCGGUGAAAUGCGUAGAUAUCGCUUGGAACGCCGAAGGUGAAAACAGGUCGCUGGGGAUGUGCCGACGCUGAGGAGCGAAAGUGUGGGGAGCGAACAGG